rnacentral:rRNA from 2 species
AGUGGGGAAUAUUGCACAAUGGGCGAAAGCCUGAUGCAGCGACGCCGCGUGAGGGAUGACGGCCUUCGGGUUGUAAACCUCUUUCAGCAGGGAAGAAGCGAGAGUGACGGUACCUGCAGAAGAAGCGCCGGCUAACUACGUGCCAGCAGCCGCGGUAAUACGUAGGGCGCAAGCGUUGUCCGGAAUUAUUGGGCGUAAAGAGCUCGUAGGCGGCUUGUCGCGUCGGUUGUGAAAGCCCGGAGCUCAACUCCGGGUCUGCAGUCGAUACGGGCAGGCUAGAGUGUGGUAGGGGAGAUCGGAAUUCCUGGUGUAGCGGUGAAAUGCGCAGAUAUCAGGAGGAACACCGGUGGCGAAGGCGGAUCUCUGGGCCAUUACUGACGCUGAGGAGCGAAAGCGUGGGGAGCGAACAGGAUUAGAUACCCUGGUAGUCCACGCCGUAAACGGUGGGCACUAGGUGUUGGCGACAUUCCACGUCGUCGGUGCCGCAGCUAACGCAUUAAGUGCCCCGCCUGGGGAGUACGGCCGCAAGGCUAAAACUCAAAG